GUGCUCUUUGUACUAUUCAUGCAACUUUUCUGUAAGUUUGAAAUUAUUUCUACAUAUAAAGGUUUUCUGUUUGUUUGUUUGUUUUUUCAUCUCUUAUGAUGUAUUCCAGGGUGUCCUUCAAGAGAGAGCAAAUUGGUUCCUCUAUUUAUGUGUCCUAGUUUAUUUCAGAAUCUUCUCAGACUAAGGGUGAUUAAAUGAUAAAGGAAAAUGUGUGCAUGGCAUCCAGGCACUCGCUAAAACCUGCAUGGAAGACAUUCGACUUCUCUGGGUCCUGCUUUCCUUACAGUAAAAUAGAGAUGAUA
rnacentral:lncRNA from 1 species